GAUGAACGCUAGCGGCAGGCCUAACACAUGCAAGUCGAGGGGUAGAGUUAGCUAGCUAACUUGAGACCGGAGCAAGGGUGCGUAACGCGUAUGCAAUCUACCUUGUACAGGGGGAUAGCCCAGAGAAAUUUGGAGUAAUACCCCCUAGUGUUAUCGACUCGCAUGGUUUGAUAACUAAAGUUCCAACGGUACAAGAUGAGCAUGCGUCCCAUUGGCUAGUUGGUUUGGUAACGGCAUACCAAGGCAAUGAUGGGUAGGGGUCCUGAGAGGGAGAUCCCCCACACUGGUACUGAGACACGGACCAGACUCCGACGGAAGGCAGCAGUGAGGAAUAUUGGUCAAUGGGCGCAAGCCUGAACCAGCCAUGCCGCGUGCAGGAUGACGGUCCUAUGGAUUGUAAACUGCUUUUAUACGGGAAGAAACACUCCUACGUGUAGGAACUUGACGGUACCGUAAGAAUAAGGAUCGGCUAACUACGUGCCAGCCGCCGCGGUAACAC
rnacentral:rRNA from 1 species